AGAGCAUGGAUAGUGUGUAUCGACGUUGUGCAAAACUUCCAAUGCACUCUGCUCGAAAGAGUUUCCUGCAAAAUUGAUUUGGGGAAGAUGGGCAGUUGUGCUUCAUAUCUAUCGUUGAUUCUUUCAACAAUCUUCUUCCCCAUAUUC